rnacentral:rRNA from 1 species
GAGUUUGAUCCUGGCUCAGAUUGAACGCUGGCGGCAUGCCUUACACAUGCAAGUCGAACGGUAACAGGUCUUCGGACGCUGACGAGUGGCGAACGGGUGAGUAAUACAUCGGAACGUGCCCAGUCGUGGGGGAUAACUACUCGAAAAGAGUAGCUAAUACCGCAUACGAUCUGAGGAUGAAAGCGGGGGACCUUCGGGCCUCGCGCGAUUGGAGCGGCCGAUGGCAGAUUAGGUAGUUGGUGGGAUAAAAGCUUACCCAAGCCGACGAUCUGUAGCUGGUCUGAGAGGACGACCAGCCACACUGGGACUGAGACACGGCCCCAGACUCCUACGGGAGGCAGCAGUGGGGAAUUUUGGACAAUGGGCGAAAGCCUGAUCCAGCAAUGCCGCGUGCAGGAUGAGGGCCUUCGGGUUGUAAACUGCUUUUGUACGGAACGAAAAAGCUUCUCCUAAUACGAGAGGCCCAUGACGGUACCGUAAGAAUAAGCACCGGCUAACUACGUGCCAGCAGCCGCGGUAAUACGUAGGGUGCGAGCGUUAAUCGGAAUUACUGGGCGUAAAGCGUGCGCAGGCGGUUAUGUAAGACAGAUGUGAAAUCCCCGGGCUCAACCUGGGAACUGCAUUUGUGACUGCAUGGCUAGAGUACGGUAGAGGGGGAUGGAAUUCCGCGUGUAGNCAUGAAAUGCGUAGAUAUGCGGAGGAACACCGAUGGCGAAGGCAAUCCCNNGGACCUGUACUGACGCUCAUGCACGAAAGCGUGGGGAGCAAACAGGAUUAGAUACCCUGGUAGUC